rnacentral:lncRNA from 1 species
UUCAAUCUAAAUCAAUGGACGUUUAUGCGAACAAAACAGAGAAAGUAAAACAAAAGCAUUUCUUUUUUGAAACAAAAUUGUAUUGAUUUUGAAAGAGGGCCUAUAAACAGGCAAUUUGUGUACAAGGAGACAGAAAUCCUAGUAAGAGGAAAUUGCCAAGAGAACGAAGAGAAAGCUAUGCAGAAAAAGUCCUAUUGAUUUUAAUUCCACUAUUGUCA